UACAGAGGGUGCAAGCGUUGUUCGGAAUUAUUGGGCGUAAAGCGCGUGUAGGCGGCUUGGCAAGUCGGGUGUGAAAGCCCUCAGCUCAACUGAGGAAGUGCGCCCGAAAUUGCUUGGCUUGAGUGCCAGAGAGGAUGGCGGAAUUCCCGAAGUAGAGGUGAAAUUCGUAGAUAUCGGGAGGAACACCGGUGGCGAAGGCGGCCAUCUGGCUGGUAACUGACGCUGAGACGCGAAAGCGUGGGUAGCAAACAGG
rnacentral:rRNA from 1 species